GUUGGGGCCAAUAUUGCCUUGGUCAUCUUCCUUAAUGUUGUACUAGUGCUGCCUCUACUUGGUGUCGAAGGGUUGCCUGCGCUCUACUCCAUCUCUGGAGAUCUCCUUCAUACCUUCGAUUAGUUGCUGAAUGCUUGGAGAGAGUGCUUCAGGGGACAUCCCACUUUGGCAUGGGAGGUGUUGGAAAGUUUCGCCGCUCUGAUUGUGAGACCGUGG
rnacentral:lncRNA from 1 species